UACGGAGGGGGCUAGCGUUGUUCGGAAUUACUGGGCGUAAAGCGCACGUAGGCGGCUUUGUAAGUUAGAGGUGAAAGCCCAGGGCUUAACCCUGGAAUUGCCUUUAAGACUGCAUCGCUAGAAUCGUGGAGAGGUGAGUGGAAUUCCGAGUGUAGAGGUGAAAUGCGCAGAUAUCAGGAGGAACACCGAUGGCGAAGGCAGCUCGCUGGGACGGUACUGACGCUGGAGGGCGACGAAAGCGUGGGGAGCAAACAGG
rnacentral:rRNA from 1 species